rnacentral:rRNA from 1 species
GAUGAACGCUGGCGGCGUGCUUAACACAUGCAAGUCGAACGGAAAGGCUCCUGCUUUCAGGGGUACUCGAGUGGCGAACGGGUGAGUAACACGUGUGGGAUCUGCCCUGCACUUCGGGAUAAGCCUUGGAAACUGGGUCUAAUACCGGAGAGGACGAUGUGUUGGAUGCCAUUGUGGAGAGAUUGUCGGUGUUGGCUGGGCUCGCGGCCAAUCCGCUUGUUGGUGGGGUAAUGGCCUACCAAGGCGUCGACGGGUAGCCGGCCCGAGAGGGUGUACGGCCACCAUGGGCCUGAGAUACGGACCAGUCUCCUACGGUCGGCAGCAGUGGAGAAUAUGGCGCAAUGGGGGCAAGCCUGAUGCAGCGACGCCGCGUGGGGGAUGCCGGCCUUCGGGUUGUAAACACCUUUCGCUGGGGACGAAGCGAAAGUGACGGUACCUGGAGAAGAAGCACCGGCUAACUACGUG